ACACGCAGCGCGUGGAAGUCCCUUUCGCUACGCCUGGGACGCUUUGCUGCUUGUUUUGUGCAAUCCUCACGCCGAAGGGACCGUUAGGCCCGCAUUUGUGAGCGGCCAAGAUGCGGGAGGCACGAGGCCGUUGCGAUGCAGGCCGCUGGCCAUUAGCACCGCAGGAGCAUGGUGAGGGUUAGCGCCCAGGCUACGGCCGCCGCUGGCCGUCGGCACCGCAGGAGCAUGGUGAGGGUUAGCGCCCAGGCUACGGCCGCCGCUGGCCGUCAGCACCGCAGGAGCAUGGUGAGGGCGAGCACAGGUUACUACGGCCGCCGCUGGCCUUCAGCACCGCAGGAGCAUGGUGAGGGCGAGCACAGGUUACUACGGCCGCCGCUGGCCAUCAGCACUGCAGGAGCAUGGUGAGAGUUAGCGCCCAAGCUAUGUGAAGCCGAUCCCGGGUUAGGCGGCGCCACGCCGAGGACCGCCACUGUGUGAUCGGAUGGUAACCUGGAUUCAUUGCCGCUGGGUGAUGGAAGACACGUUAAGGUAUUGUUUAAAAGCAAAAUAAAAGUGGUUGAGAUCUUCCGGGCACCUUACAAGGGAUCUUCACACUCACUUGGAAAUGAGUACUUUUAAUAUUAAUACGUCACUAUACAGUCCUGACCUUUAUUUUACAUAAAGUCAUUCAUAAGCCAAAUAAAGCUUGGUUGAUGGGUAAUAA